rnacentral:lncRNA from 1 species
GACGACGCAACGGAACUCCAUCUCACAGGGACACUGCAGGGACACGGCGUAGACUGCGAUGAUGCAGCUUAGACUCCAAGUAUGGCUUCUUCUGAAACUGGCAUGGCAUGUCAUGUGAGUACUUUGAAUGUACUCGCAAGCUCAUAACAAACAAUACAAUAAUGACAAACAAUGAUAUGACAUUUAAGAAGGUUAUAUGCAAGAUAUGAG